rnacentral:siRNA from 1 species
ACGUAUCAGGCGGAUCAAGCAGC